GUUUAGGAACUAAAACGGUUUUCUUACUAUUAUCGUCAUUUUUAUUGUUGUUGGUAUUAUUGAUAAUAUGUAUUUUUUACUUAGUGAGAGCGAACGUAGAGCGCUUACACAAAUUUACACCUGCGUGACAAGAUAACUGCAGGGUGCACAGCACGUCUGCCUAAAGACAAACUUGAAGAUAAAGAAACAGUAAGAUAGAAAUCAGGCACUGGUGUUUAUCUAUAUUUAAACCAUCAAGUCCGGUUUGAACCUGAGAAGGUACAGGCUUCAUAAAUACUGUAAAUGAAGCUUUGUAUAUUUUUAGGUAUGUUAUACAGUAUAUAUACUUGUUCUUAUGCAACACUUAUCAUUAUAUAAUACGCGUAUUCCAAGGAGUUCAGAGUCGUUGCGAAACGAAGCGUGUGCAGCAUCAGACUGGGUGCCUGUCCGUCACAUCACUGGGAGGUUCAGCGACACACGUGCCCCCAACUCACACUGGGCCAACCGAAAUGCUUACAUUAACGUUACAUCUUUGGGAAAGUGGAAAGAAGCCCCACAUAGACACCCGGAGAAGGUAUACGACUCCAUUCGGGGAAGGGCAGCGCGGAAGAUUUAAGUCCAGAUUACUGGACUGUACUGAGAGCUGCGCCACUGUGCUACCCACAAAACGAAGCUGAUAUCCAGUUAGCCGUUGGCGUGCCGGGAGUUCAUUUUCGUGUCACUCCAUCGGGCCCUAAACAGGACAGAAAGGGAGCCAGUCCUCCAGUGCCAGGCACAAAAUAUGAAUCGUCUCUGACUGGGCACUAGUCUCUGGCAGUUGGAGCCCAGGCAGGGGAAGUGACUUACUCAGGGUCACACGGUGGAGUCAGGAUAACCCUGCAGGGUCUGAAGUCCAAAGCCUUUAUGACACCGUCUGCACAGGGCGUGAACUUCGUCGCAUCCACGAGACCAACCCCCAUGGUGGAGUUAUCAAGUUGUCGUCUUUGUCGUGGACGACAUUAAAUGAGGUGACUGCUAUAAAUGGCGCUUGUGUGGGUGGGGCUGUGCGAUGGACUCAGGGUGGGUUCAAGCCCCGUGACCAUCUUGAACACUUCUCUGGAAAAUGCAGAUUCCGAGAAGGGGUGGGUAGACACAUAAGAUUAAUUUGAAGGUGGUGAAUCUGAAGUGUAUGGAGUAUUUUAUUUAUAGGAAAGAACCCAAUGGUUCUUCAGAUAAAACAUAGCGUGGCGUAUAGUUAUGGCAUUGGACUUCAACUCCUGCUUGGUGGUCCAAAUCCCACCUCUGACACUGUGUGACCAUAUAAGUCACUUCUCCUGGCUGGGCUCCAAUUAUAUAUAUCUCAAAUGGUGUAUUAGGUCGCCUCGGAUGAGAUUAAACGUAAUGGCGUAUUCCUUAUCACGGAGGUAUUUUGAAUGCGGGGUUUGUACACGAGAAGCAUAAAAAAUGCAAAAGAAGAGACAUUUCAGUGACACUUUUUAUUUGUCAAAUAAAAAGGUGGAAGAGUUCACAUUUAAAUUCAUAUUGUAUGAUUUUCUGUGGUCCAUCCGUUGAGUUAUCCUCUAAUGUCUUACUCUUCACCUUCUUUGACCUAAAAAUAAAACAGAAAAGCACAACAUCAGUUCAGACUCCUCGUUUGUAUUGCUCGUUAGAAAAGCGCGCACUUCUUUAAAGUACUUGCCAUGCACCACUCUCCGCUUACAAUAAAUCGAUGUCUUAUUUAUUUUUAUUUUUUUUCCUGAUGGCAAUUCGAUUUCUUCUUUAGAAUACGUUCCUGGUGUUCUAAAUAUUACAAAAUGUGCAUGAAAGGUUAGCAAAGGAGCGAGUUAGUGACUGCAGAUUUACCGUCUAACCCGUGGGAGCGGAAUGGUUUGGGGGGGCUACUGCCGGG